rnacentral:tRNA from 1 species
GGGCGAUUAGCUCAGUUGGUUAGAGCGCUUGCGUGACAUGCAAGAGGUCACAAGUUCGAAUCUUGUAUCGCCCA